GAUGAACGCUAGCGGCAGGCCUAACACAUGCAAGUCGAGGGGUAGAAGCUUUCGGGCUUUGAGACCGGCGCACGGGUGCGUAACGCGUAUGCAAUCUGCCUUGUACUGGGGGAUAGCCCAGAGAAAUUUGGAUUAACACCUCAUAGUAUUUUUGCCUGGCAUCAGGUGAUUAUUAAAGGUUACGGUACAAGAUGAGCAUGCGUCCCAUUAGCUAGUUGGUAUGGUAACGGCAUACCAAGGCUACGAUGGGUAGGGGUCCUGAGAGGGAGAUCCCCCACACUGGUACUGAGACACGGACCAGACUCCUACGGGAGGCAGCAGUGAGGAAUAUUGGUCAAUGGGCGCAAGCCUGAACCAGCCAUGCCGCGUGCAGGAUGAAGCAUCUAUGGUGUGUAAACUGCUUUUGUACGGGAAGAAACACUGCUACGUGUAGCAGCUUGACGGUACCGUAAGAAUAAGGAUCGGCUAACUCCGUGCCAGCCGCCGCAGUAACAC
rnacentral:rRNA from 1 species